rnacentral:lncRNA from 1 species
AUGCACCUAAUUCAUUUAAUUAGUAGUUAUCAAGCAGCCUUAAUGGUUCCAAGCCAUAAACUAGGUUUAUAUCUGAGGAUAUCAGCCUGCCUCAGAGAUCUCUCGUGUGUCUCCCAGACGCAGAAAGAGGGAGAGUGUUCUCAGUGGAAUCAGGUUAGAAUUGACCAGGAUCUCACAACAUGUCCUGCUGCCUCCUGCGUCUGUCUUGCCCGGAGAGGAGCCAGGGAGGUCGGUGCAGACCAGGGAUACCACUGCCCAAUUUACUCAAAUAGCCAGUCCGUGGGAGUGAACAUCCAAAGCCUAAUAUUUUUUGUAUGUUUUUGGUUUUGAUUUUUGGUGGAGAGUCCCAUACUCACAAAAGGCUAAAGAGGAAGUUAGGGGCUGUGUUUAGAGCUGGUCCGAAGGGCUUCGGAACCUCUGGGAUGUGGCUCCACUCCUUCCCCAAGAAAACUACUAUAAACUCAUCCUUGAACUUGUCUCUGUUAAAAAGUACUGCUGAGCUAGGUGGCAUUUGCCCCUUAGCAACCAUUUCCCGUCCUGCACUCAUAGGAAAAAUCUUUGAAAGUUAAGGUUGAAUCAUUUACUGACAGUUGGAGCCCAGGGAGGUCGCUUGCCCAAGGUUACACAGCUAGUUGGGACAAGAGUCUGAACCUCCACCUCCUGGCUUCCAGUGGUUAGCCUUAUUGUGCCUCCAGGGGCUUCUUGGGAAUUCUGCAGGAGACUUUCCUCCUUUAUUUAUCCACACAACAUUUAUGCAGCAUCUACAAUGAUUCACACUGCACGCAUUGAUAGAAAGACGGAAAAUAACAGUCCCGAGUUUCUAACCUUAGAUCCGAGGUCCCUGUGGCCUGCAGCAGCUUCCACCUGAGCAGAAGCCUGCAGGCCCUUGGGCUCUAGGCUCCUCUUGGACCCCAUGGGCGGGUGCACCCCAGCCCCUCCCGCCCACCCUGGAUCUUGUAGCUGCCGUUGCCACCGAACCAAUCAUGCCAGAAAGUCAUCAUGAUGAUU